CAUCGCUCAGACCACGCCCCCAUACCGCCCGCCUCCUGGAUGUUCCCGGAAGCUGACCGGCUUACCCGGGUCGAGUUGAUUGGUUGCAGUUUUGGACACCGCGCGCCAGGUUUUGUAGAGUUGUUUUGAGCCAAGUUCGCCGAAGAGAUAAUGGCUAGGCAGGAUCGUCUGCGCGAGCUCCUGGGCCCUCUGCACCCGUACAAGAGCGACGACGAGGAGGAGGAUUGUGCGCAGGAGGAGGAGGGGGAGCAGGAGGAGGAGUUUGUGGAUGCCGAGGAACUCUGCAGCGGGGGCAUCAAGGCGGGCAGCCUCCCUGGGCGCGCGCGAGUGUCUAUCCCUGAUGAGUAUACUAAAGAGAAAUGUACCGUGUACGGACGUUUCCCACUCAAAGGUCCGUGGUGGCGCGUGAAGGUCCAGGUCCUGAAACCCCAGCGAUCCAGGAGCUAUCAAGUUCAAGGCUUUCCGGCAUACUUUCUACAGGUUGAUAUGUCGCCACCAGAUCAAAAACAAAUCUGUUCGCUUUUUCUUAAAGAAUGCAACUUAGCCUCUGAGCGCAUACAGGAAUUUUUAAAAUGGGUAGAAAAAGUGUCAAGCUUUGAAAAUCUACACUUUGAAAAUCUUUGGGAAACAUUAAGGCUUUUCUACAGAGAAACCGAAAAGAAAGAUAAAAAGCUGUCUACACCAAGGGAGCAGCAGGGUGAGGAGAUGAGAGUGGAAAAAUCAUUCGCAUUUAUAAGUGCAAUGGUAGCUCUGCAAUUCCCCAAAGUCAUGGAAUUCCUUCCAUCGCUUUUCCCUCGACACUUCAAAAGGCUCAUCAGCUCGAGUUCUGAUUGGGUGCUGGGAUGCAUAGAAGAUGUUCUGGGUACACAGCCGUGGAAGCUGGGCUUCAGGAGGAUAACCUACAGAGAAAUGAAACUAGUGCGCUGUGAGGCCAGCUGGACAGCGUUCAGUCAGUGCCCCUCGCUGCUCCAGCUGAUGACGCCCCUGCAGAAGAAUGCAUUGGUCAUAUAUUCUAAGCUGAGGCAGACAUGCAGAGAAGACGGACACACGUACAUUGAAGUAAAAGACUUGACCUCGGGCUUGUCGGAGCAUAUGUCAUUCGAGGAAGCGUGUCAGUCUCUGGCGUUUCUGAAGGACAUUGACGUGGUCAUUUAUGAGAAGGACUAUGUCUUUCUUUCUGAACUGUACGAGGCCGAGCAAGACAUCGCCUCCUCCAUCUGCGAGCUGAUGAGCAGACCUCCGUGGCACUUAAAAGUGGACGUGAAGAACGUCCUGGCGUCAAUUAGAGGCGCAAAGCCCAACGAUCCAGGAAGUGCUGAGGCAGUGGAAGGGAGCAAGCCGGAGGAGGUGGGGUCAGAGCAGGGUGACAGUGUUUUAGACGCCCAAGAUGGCGAUGACCAUGUUAGAAGCAAUGGCGAACACGUCGCAAAUGCAGAAAUAAACGACGUCCCACUGGAUCAAGAUCAGGUGGUCGCCCUGGAGACGAUCUGCGCCAACGCGGUGACUGUCCUCAGUGGGAAAGGCGGCUGUGGGAAGACCACCAUUGUUAGCCGUCUUUUUAAGCACAUGGAACAUCUGGAAGAAACGGAAGUGCAGCAAGCCUGCGAGGAUUUUGAACAAGACCAGGAAGCCUCAGAAGAGUGGCUUGACUGUCCUAAGCAGAGCCCAGCCGGUGUGGACAAGGCUGUAGAAGUCUUGCUCACCGCACCUACAGGGAAGGCUGCUGGCUUAUUGAGGCAGAGGACCGAUCUUCCGGCUUACACGCUGUGCCAGGUCAAUUACAGCUUCUAUAUGUGGAAAACGAAAAAUGAGGUGGACAAGCCGUGGAAAUUCUCCACGGUUCGAGUUCUGGUUGUGGACGAAGGGAGUUUGGUGUCUGUAGGGAUCUUCAAGUCAGUGUUACAGUUGCUGUGCAAACACUCCAAGCUGUCCAAGCUCAUCAUCCUUGGUGAUGUUAGACAGUUGCCCAGUAUUGAACCUGGUAACAUGCUGCAGGAUGUCUUUGAGACUCUUAAGUCAAGACAGUGUGCCAUCGAACUAAAGACGAACCACAGGACAGAGUCUCAGCUGAUUGUGGACAAUGCUACAAGAAUCUCCAGACGUCAGUUUCCAAAAUUUGAUGCUGAACUAAAUAUCUGUGGUAAUCCUACAUUACCUCUCUCCAUUCAAGAUAAGACAUUUAUCUUUGUGAGACUCCCUGAAGAAGACAGCAGAUCUCAGUCGUCUAAAGGUGAACACCGAUCUAAUUUAUAUACUGCAGUUAAAACUUUGCUUCAAGGAAAGGACUUCUGCUCUUUUGAAAGUUCAAAAACAUCGCAAUUUAUUGCAUUUAGAAGGCAAGACUGUGACCUCAUCAAUGACUGCUGCUGCAAGCACUACACAGGCCACCUCAUCAAAGACCAUGAGAAGAAACUCAUCUUUGCCGUCGGUGAUAAGAUCUGCUGUACCCGGAAUGCAUACCUCUCAGAUUUACUCCCCGACAAAGACCAGGAAGCCGAGGGGAAAGGCUAUGGAGACGCCCCUGACGACGAUGCUAAAAUCAAACAGGAUUUCGAAAGCAGCACCCGCCUGUGCAACGGGGAAAUAUUUUUCAUAACACGGGAUGUAACUGACGUAACUUUCAAAAGAAAAAGACUUCUGACCAUUAAUAACGAGGCCGGUUUGGAAGUGACUGUGGACUUUAGCAAACUAAUGGCAAACUGUCAGAUCAAGCAUGCCUGGGCAAGGACCAUUCAUACUUUUCAGCUUGACUCCAGCAGGGCCUGACGUGAACUGCACGGAUGUCCUUGAACUUUGACAUUUUAUCUAUGGGGUCCGAGGAGAACACAGUCGUCUACGUCGUGGGGAAGGCAGGCCGCCAGCACUGGCAACAUGUUUACACGGCAGUGACCCGGGGCCGCUCCAGAGUGUACAUCAUCGCGCAGGAGUCUGAACUCAGGAGUGCCACCCGGAAGCGCGGUUUCCCCAGGCAGACGCGUUUGAAACACUUCUUGCAGAAGAAGCUCUCUGGCAGCUGCGCACCCUCAACAGGUUUCGCAUCCCAGCCUUCGAGCCCUCGAGUCGGAGGAAGACCUGACACCCAGCCUCCAGCGUCACACCUCUGUAGAACCCCAGACAACAAAGCCACUGCAGACAGCGCCAGAGGCGACGAAAGAUGGCUGUCAGCUUCUGUUAACGAUGACGUGGAUACGGAUGAGGAGUCAGCACAGCUCAGAGGGUCCAAAAGAAUCGGUGACGGCUUCCCGUUUGAUGAAGAAAGCCCCAGUAAAUUCCGUAUGGUUGAAGCGCCAUCUCCACAGGUGUCCUCUGUGUUUCAGAAUAUGAGGUUGAAUACUCUCACUCCCAGACAGCUUUUUAAACCCACCGACAAUCAAGACACAGGUACGGCAGGUGUGGCGGACGACGCCAACGAUCCCAGCAAUCAGGAGAUGGAAAUGUGAGGAUCUGCGUUCAUGGCCAGCCUGGGCAACAUCGUAAGACCCUGCUCAGCCCAUACCACCACCACCACCACCACCACUGAAAACCUCAAAGCAGAAAAAAAAAAGUUUACUUCAUAUUAAUCAAGAAAUUAUUAUUUUUUUCCUCCCAAGACAAGAUGAACAUUUUAGCUUCAAAGUUUCAAACUUCAAACUCUGAGAAGACAGCAUUAUGGUUUUGGGCAUUUGUAAUUUUGGGCACAUGACCCAAAAUAAAAUUUUUAUAUUAUUUUUAAAUCUAAGUUUCAAAAGGAGGUAUUCUAAAAUCACCCAAUCCAAGAAAACCAUGAUGAUUUCAGCCUCUGUCCUCGUGAGAACAGUUGACAGGGGACACAGUUAGGGGAAAAGGUGCUGUAUGCUUAAAACACUCCCGUUUUAGGGGCUGCUGGAUGUUUUGUGAUAAUGCCAUGUGAUCAUUGCGGAUCUCCUUUGCCAGCACACUGAACCAGCAAAGGUGGACUGAUUGUACCUGUUGAUUGUAACACAUUCAAGGAUGCUGUUUGUGGCGACAUCCUUGCUGUGAUGCUGUGGCCAUCACUCCAUUCCUGUGCCUGGGGCUCUGCGUACGUGGGGCUUGGAUAUGCCUUUCUGAGUUGGGAGUAAGUUUAGCAUAUAUCCCAUUGUAGGGAAGACUUUCUCUUAAAGCAUAUUGGUUUUUAAAUAUUUAUUACCUAGUGGUACUGUGGCUUGAUCGUGUCUUCCCAAACCUGUGUGAGUUUUUUUUUGGGGGGGUGGGGGUGGGGGGUGGUUUCGAGACAGGGUUUCUCUGUACAGCCCUGGGGCUGACCUGGAACUCACUUUGUAGACCAGGCUGGCCUCAAACUCAGAAAUCCGCCUGCCUCUGCCUCCCGAGUGCUGGGAUUAAAGGCGUGCGCCACCACUGCCUGGCAUGGCAGAGUGGUAGAGAGAGUUUUUCCAUCUUUCUCCCUUCUUUUGGUGCUGGAACUGAAGCCAAGGUCUCAUUCCUUCUAAGAAAGCACUUUACUGCUUAAUUUUAUUCCUGAUCCUAAACAUAACUUUUAUAUGUACCAGGAAGUAAACAAACAAGACCAGUCAUGUGAUGCAGCUGAUGGUAAUGCUUUUGUUAUUUCGGGUGCCCUGGGACUGAUCUGCAGCAUUUCUGAGAUAGACCUUUGUGAGAAAUAAAUCCACUAUUCUUUUACUUCA